rnacentral:pre_miRNA from 1 species
CAACUACUCCCUCUGUCCCAAAUUUCUUGUCUUAGAUUUGUCUAGAUAUGGAUGUAUCUAAUACUAAAAUGUGACUUGAUACAUCCGUACCUAGACAAAUCUAAGACAAGAAUUUUGGGACGGAGGGAGUACUUU